rnacentral:rRNA from 1 species
UAAAGAAUUUCGGUAUGGGAUGGGGAUGCGUUCCAUUAGUUAGUUGGCGGGGUAACGGCCCACCAAGACAACGAUGGAUAGGGGUUCUGAGAGGAAGGUCCCCCACAUUGGAACUGAGACACGGUCCAAACUCCUACGGGAGGCAGCAGUGAGGAAUAUUGGUCAAUGGACGAGAGUCUGAACCAGCCAAGUAGCGUGAAGGAUGACUGCCCUAUGGGUUGUAAACUUCUUUUAUAUGGGAAUAAAAUGUUCCACGUGUGGGAUUUUGUAUGUACCAUAUGAAUAAGGAUCGGCUAACUCCGUGCCAGCAGCCGCGGUAAUACGGAGGAUCCGAGCGUUAUCCGGAUUUAUUGGGUUUAAAGGGAGCGUAGGUGGAUUGUUAAGUCAGUUGUGAAAGUUUGCGGCUCAACCGUAAAAUUGCAGUUGAAACUGGCAGUCUUGAGUACAGUAGAGGUGGGCGGAAUUCGUGGUGUAGCGGUGAAGUGCUUAGAUAUCACGAAGAACUCCGAUUGCGAAGGCAGCUCACUGGACUGCAACUGACACUGAGGCUCGAAAGUGUGGGUAUCAAACAGGAUUAGAUACCCUGGUAGUCCACACAGUAAACGAUGAAUACUCGCUGUUUGCGAUAUACGGCAA